rnacentral:rRNA from 1 species
GAUGAACGCUAGCGGCAGGCCUAACACAUGCAAGUCGAGGGGCAGCAUGGUGUAGCAAUACAUUGGUGGCGACCGGCGCACGGGUGCGUAACGCGUAUACAAUUUGCCUUAUACUGGGAGAUAGCCCGGAGAAAUUCGGAUUAAUAUCCCAUAAUAUUUUUUCACCGCAUGGUGAGAGUCUUAAAGCUACGGCGGUAUAAGAUGAGUAUGCGUCUGAUUAGCUAGUUGGUGAGGUAAUGGCUCACCAAGGCGACGAUCAGUAGGGGGCCUGAGAGGGUUAUCCCCCACACUGGAACUGAGACACGGUCCAGACUCCUACGGGAGGCAGCAGUGAGGAAUAUUGGUCAAUGGAGGCAACUCUGAACCAGCCAUGCCGCGUGUAGGACGAAUGCCCUCUGGGUUGUAAACUACUUUUUAUUGGGGAAGAAACCCUCUUACGUGUAAGAGGCUGACGGUACCCAAGGAAUAAGGACCGGCUAACUCCGUGCCAGCAGCCG